GACGAACGCUGGCGGCGUGCUUAAUACAUGCAAGUCGAACGGAAAGGCCCUGCUUUUGUGGGGUGCUCGAGUGGCGAACGGGUGAGUAACGCGUGAGUAACCUGCCCUUGACUUUGGGAUAACUUCAGGAAACUGGGGCUAAUACCGGAUAGGAGCUCCUGCUGCAUGGUGGGGGUUGGAAAGUUUCGGCGGUUGGGGAUGGACUCGCGGCUUAUCAGCUUGUUGGUGGGGUAGUGGCUUACCAAGGCUUUGACGGGUAGCCGGCCUGAGAGGGUGACCGGCCACAUUGGGACUGAGAUACGGCCCAGACUCCUACGGGAGGCAGCAGUGGGGAAUAUUGCACAAUGGGCGGAAGCCUGAUGCAGCAACGCCGCGUGCGGGAUGACGGCCUUCGGGUUGUAAACCGCUUUCGCCUGUGACGAAGCGUGAGUGACGGUAAUGGGUAAAGAAGCACCGGCUAACUACGUG
rnacentral:rRNA from 1 species